rnacentral:misc_RNA from 1 species
AAGGAGUCUAACAUAUAUGCGAGUAUGUGGAUAGAAAAUCCAUGUGCGUAAUGAAAGUGAUCAUAGCGAGGAUUCCUCCGGGUGUAUGCAGCUGUGGCCGACCUCGAUCCUCGGUGACAGAUUUGAGUAUGAGCAUAUCUGUUAGGACCCGAAAGAUGGUGAACUAUGCCGGUAUAGGGUGAAGCCAGGGGAAACUCUGGUGGAGGCUCGUAGCGAUUCUGACGUGCAAAUCGAUCGUCAAAUAUCGGUAUAGGGGCGAAAGACUAAUCGAACCAUCUAGUAGCUGGUUACCGC